rnacentral:piRNA from 1 species
GUUUAUGGAAGGCUGCUUGACACUG